CUUCCCUAGCAACGUGUAUGUGAACCAGGAAGUACUUUCUGUAUGCUCUAGCUCUAGCCUAGCUGCGGUUAGCACAGAGGAGUGAAAGUGACUGCACGCAAAGUUUGUCUCGGUUAGAUUUAUGAGUCCAUCUACCGUCCAUGUGUAUUUAACACAUGUCAGGCAACGUCGUGGUUAGCCGCCAGUUCUGUCGCUGGAGAUGAGUGAAAGUUGUGUGCCAUGAAAAUGAUUUUCUUAACACUGUCCGAUAAGCCAUGAUAGGCUUAUCAAGUUAUGCAGGGGUUAUGGAAAGUCUAAUGAAUUCUGCUGAAGAGCAGCAACCCUCCACUCCCCUGGCCAACUCGUGGUCCCAAAUACAGGAAUCAAGCAAGAAUCAAACGCCAAAAUGUGUUGGUGGAUUUGUUUUAGUUCAUGCAGGAGCAGGAUACCAUUCUGAAUCCAAGGCCAAGGAGUACAAGCAUGUGUGUAAAAGAGCCUGCCAGCGAGCUGUGGACCGACUCAAAGCCGGCGCACUUGCAGUGGAAGCAGUGGCCGCAGCUUUGGUUGAACUUGAGGACUCUCCUUUUACAAAUGCCGGCAUGGGCUCCAACCUUAACUUGUCAGGGGAAAUUGAAUGUGAUGCGAGUAUCAUGGAUGGGAAGUCGCUGCAUUAUGGUGCUGUAGGGGCUAUAAGUGGUAUUAAGAACCCGGUCUUGGUUGCUAACCGUCUACUGAGUGAAGCACAGAAAGGGAAACUAUCAGCUGGGAGAAUACCACCCUGCUUUUUAGUGGGGCGAGGAGCACAUGAUUGGGCAGUCAGCCAUGGAAUACCACCAUGCCCUUCAGAGAAAAUGGCCAGCAAGUUUAGUUUAUCUGCGUACAAGAGGAACAAGCGAAAGAUGGCGCUAGCAGAAAGAAUUGACACAGGACAUAAUCAGGCGAAGAAAAGACGACAAUCAAGUGGAAAUGAAAAUGGUUCAGGGUGCCUCGACACAGUGGGAGCCGUUGUGAUAGACCUGGAAGGGAAUGUAGCUGCAGCGGUGUCCAGUGGAGGUCUGGCCAUGAAACAUCCUGGCAGGGUUGGCCAGGCUGCCCAUUAUGGAUGUGGCUGCUGGGCUGAAAAUGCCUGUAGUAUGAACUCUCACUCUACAGCAGUGAGUACCUCAGGCUGUGGAGAGCAUCUGAUUCGCACCAUGCUGGCACGGGAAUGCUCUGCUGCCAUGCAGUCUGAAGAUGCCCAUCAAGCACUGCUGGAAGCUAUGCAAAACAAGUUCAUCAGCUCACCCUUUCUGGCCGGUGAAGAUCGUGUUUUGGGUGGAGUCAUUGUCUUGCGCUGCUGCAGAUGUGUGGAACCUCCGCCGUCACAAAAUAUUCAGGGUAUACUGGAUUCAAACCGAGACCUCCCACUAUGGCAUCAACAGCUAAUCUUCAGACAAGUGGAGGCCCUCUGACUACUCCAGUUUGGUUGAUUGUAUUGGUGGGUCUGGUUUCUCUACCUGGAGCUUCUGGGAAUGAUCCUUCUUUUGCAAAGCUUUAUCAUCAUGGAAUUUAACUCAAUCAGAGUGGAGUUUCUAUGGAGUCACACCACAGAGAGCAUGUGUGUUGGCUACAUGUCUGCCCAAGAUAGCAAAGCAAAG